GACGAACGCUGGCGGCGUGCCUAAUGCAUGCAAGUCGCACGCGGCACCUUCGGGUGCUGAGUGGCGAACGGCUGAGGAACACGUGGGGACCUGUCCGGGAGUGGGGGACAACACCGCGAAAGCGGUGCUAAUCCCGCAUACGCUCUGAGGAGGAAAGCCGAAAGGCGCUCCCGGGUGGCCCUGCGGCCCAUCAGGUUGUUGGUGGGGUAACGGCCUACCAAGCCAAUGACGGGUCGCUGGUCUGUGAGGACGACCAGCCAGACUGGGACUGGGACACGGCCCAGACUCCUACGGGAGGCAGCAGCAAGGAAUUUUCGGCAAGGGGCGCAAGCCUGACCGAGCAACGCCGCGUGCAGGAAGACGGCCUUCGGGGUGUAAACUGCUUUUGCUAGGGAGGAUAACAGACAGUACCUGGCGAAUCAGCCCCGGCUAACUCUGUG
rnacentral:rRNA from 1 species